UGGGGAAUAUUGCACAAUGGGCGCAAGCCUGAUGCAGCAACGCCGCGUGAACGAUGAAGGUCUUCGGAUCGUAAAGUUCUGUUGCAGGGGAAGAUAAUGACGGUACCCUGUGAGGAAGCCCCGGCUAAAUACGUGCCAGCAGCCGCGGUAAUACGUAUGUUGCGAGCGUUAUCCGGAAUUAUUGGGCUUAAAGGGCAUCUAGGCGGUAAGACAAGUUGAAGGUGAAAACCUGUGGCUCAACCAUAGGCUUGCCUACAAAACUGUUGAACUAGAGUACUGGAAAGGUGGGUGGAACUACACGAGUAGAGGUGAAAUUCGUAGAUAUGUGUAGGAAUGCCGAUGAUGAAGAUAACUCACUGGACAGAAACUGACGCUGAAGUGCGAAAGCUAGGGGAGCAAACAGG
rnacentral:rRNA from 1 species